GGCCUGAUAGUUCAGUGGUAGAAUUCUUGCUUUGGGAUCCUCGAAUGUAAGAGGUCUCCGGUUCGAUCCCGGAUUAGGCCC
rnacentral:tRNA from 2 species